rnacentral:lncRNA from 1 species
GGCCAGUGUAAUGUGUAGUUCCUGUUUGGAGUGGCAACAUUUACCUUGUGCUAGACUAAAACAACUUCCAAAGGCAAAGAAUUGGUUUUGUAACAAUUGCACAUGUUUAAUAAUGUAUAUAAAAGAACAUGUGGUAUGAUUGCCAAUGAGAUGAGACAACUAUCCACAAAAGACCAAAAUGACACAGACAUUAACAAAUAUAGGCCACCGUACGGCCUUCAACAAUGAGCAAAGCCCAUACCGCAUAGUCAGCUAUAAAAGGCCACGAUAAGACAAUGUAAAACAAUUCAAACGAGAAAACUAACGGCCUUAUUUAUGUAAAAAAAAAAAAAAAAAAAAAAGAACGAAAAAUAAAUGUGUAACACAUAAACAAACGACAACCACUGAAUUAUAGGCUCCUGACUUGGGACAGGCAC